ACCCAACAUGAACUGUGGUAUAAAUAAUAGUAAAGUUCAUACAUCUGAAUAUCUUGAAGCACUUUAUGAUAUUAUGGCAAAGAAUGAAAUCAAGAAUGCCACUGCGUGAGUCUGGGCAAAGUUGCUGUAGUGAGCCCGCAAUCAAAGAAAAUGCCCUUAGCCAAUCAUUAGAUUGGAGUUGGGAUUAGGCAGUGGUCUCUUUCGUUACGUUCCUUUUCCGCUAACUUUGUAUCCAAAUAUAACGUAUUUCGUAUUUAUGGUAGGAUCUUGUGAAGAGUUUAGGAUCAAAGCUUAGAUGAUUAUUUUGUACAGAGGGCUAGAGGAGGGGAGGGGAGGGAGGUGGAUCUUUUGAAUAGAGA